UGUGUGUGUUGAUGAGUGGAUGUAGGAGAGGACAGUAAAAUGGGCAGCAGGAUGAGGUGAGGAUCCAUAUAAAGAGGGGUGUCUCUGGCGGGGUGACAGAACGACAGGACACAGCCAGCUAGUUCAUCACCAGCCUAGGGAUUCACACAGAAGGUCACCAGAGCAGGACCAAGUAGAAUGACCAUGCGUGGAGCUGUGAUGUGCUGUGUACUGCUGGUGUGUCUGGUGGCCAUGUUUGCUAAACAGGUGGAGGGACACUUCUCUUUCUUUAGCCCCAAGGAGAUGAGGGAGAUGAAGGCCCUACAGAAUAAGCUGGGGAGGAAGGACAUGGAGCCUCAGACAGAGAAUGGACAGCUUCAGGAUGUCACCAUAAAACAGCUGCGUGAGGUCGAUGGCCGAAUUCCUGAGAAGAUCAUGGAGAUAGGGGUUCGACUGACGGCCAAACAACUGGAGCUCGUGGGCCCUGUGCUGGAAGAGAUCAUCAAUGAAAUGGUGGAGCAGGCCGAAUAGAGAGGCGCUUGGGGUUCUACAUUAAGAGACAGCACUUAUAGUAUGUAUCAUUCUACACACAUUCAAUCCACAACUGUGUUUCUGUCCUCACAUGUUACUAUUGGACCUUGG
rnacentral:lncRNA from 1 species